GGGAAACACACAAGUUUUCUUAACUCUUAGGCCCCCAAACAUUUCUUCUUGUACCGAAUGGGUACGUUGCACUUCCUCCACGCUCAUGGUCGACCUUACUGCCUUCAAUAGGUCGGACAUUUCUUCCGUAGAAAAAUAAUAUCUACGACCGUCAUCCACUGAGUGAG